UUUUGGUGAGCGAUUGGCUCAUUUCAUUUUCUUGUUCGUUGUAGAAUUUUGUAAAUUUGUUCUCCAAACUCUGCCCAUUCUUUCUGAUCCACAACAAUCAAAGAGGAUGUAAAAAUUUAUGCAAAAUCCUAGAGGAAGUCACUUCCCAUUGUUUCAAGCUUAUAUAAGGUGGGAAUGCGACUAGAAAGAUUUGAUGUCGCACGUGGUGUAAUUUUCUAGCACCGAGAAGGUUUUCAGAUAGUUUUUUUCGAACAUUUAGCAUCCUCCACCACUUUUGUGCACCAGUCCCUAAACUGCCAUCUUCCACGACAUCUUCAACAAGAAAAGGUGGAAGCAUGAGGCGGCCCUAAAGCUCGAUCCUCAGAUCUCAUUAACAAUGCCAUCUUUUCAAAAAAAUUAUGGCUUCCACGAGCUUUUCUACCUUCCGAUUAUUAGCAUGUUUGGACACGAUUUUUACUUGGAUUUCCUUAACACCUAAAAUUUAAAGAAAUGUAUUGAUAAACUCAAAGAAGGGGAUAAAGUUGUUGUUGUGGGAAUUGGGUGGAUUCACUCCCUAUCUACUGUACAUGGAGUCAACUUGAAAGAAACAUGAUAUGUAAACAUUUUAGAAGUCACAAGUAACAUACCCCUUGCUAUAAAGACAAAAUAUAUGAAGUUCUUCGUCUGAAAGAGAAAGAGGGAACCUUCACAUGGUGGCCAUUAAAAUAUUUGCAAAAAAUGACAUAGUUGAUCAUGUUUAUCAUGUACUAGUUGUAAGACAUCUUGGCUCACUUCUUUAUGCAGUAUUUUGAA